UACGGAGGGUGCGAGCGUUGUCCGGGAUCACUGGGCGUAAAGGGCGCGUAGGCGGCCUGGUAAGUAGGGGGUGAAAUCCUGCGGCUUAACCGCAGGGCUGCCUUCUAAACUGUCAGGCUCGAGCACGGUAGAGGCGGAUGGAAUUCCCGGUGUAGCGGUGGAAUGCGUAGAGAUCGGGAAGAACAUCAGUGGCGAAGGCGGUCUGCUGGGCCGUUGCUGACGCUGAGGCGCGACAGCGUGGGGAGCAAACAGG
rnacentral:rRNA from 1 species